GGACGUAAGGGCGAUCUGGCUGCGACAUCUGUCACCCCAUUGAUCGCCGGGAUUGAUUCGGCUGAUCUGGCUGGCUAGGCGGGUGUCCCCCUCCUCCCUCACCGAUCCAUGUGCGUCCAUCCCAAAGCUGCGCGCUCGGUCAAAGAGGACGACCCCCCCACCCCCCACCUCCCACCCACAACCUCCCUACCCCGAGGAGAAGACCGGUCUUCGGUCAAGGGUAUACGAGUAGCUGCGUUCCCCUGCUAGAACCUCCAAACAAGCUCUCAAGGAUAUAGAAACCAUCCUCAUGGAUAGAAAUCUAUAGCCAGCAUCAACUCACCAACCAUGUGGGUGAGAU
rnacentral:snRNA from 1 species